AUGGGAAAGCAACUCCUCCAGCUCCCCCGUUUCUGGUCUCUUCUGUUUCUGCCAGCUCCCAAGAGGAUAAUACAGCCUCCCCAUGGAAACAACAGUUCUGGCCAGCAGGCUCUGCGUGGUCUGAAAGGCCCACUUCCACCUGAGUAUCAGGGCUCAGGAACUGAGGGGACCAUGGUAAUGAGACAGUGACAAAUAAGCGAACUCCUCACCUUCUUUCAAAGACCUCAGAGUACAUGUGAGUCCAGCGCGGUCUGGAAUCCCGGGUCCACCUCCUCAGCAGCUUCUUGCUCCGUGCCUCUGUGUAUGUCUCCGCACAUAGUAGACUAUGAGCUCACUUGGGAGAAGACCCGCGGCCUUGUUCACCACUGUAUCCUUGUAACCCAGCGUCAUCCCUGGAACACAGCAGGUUGCCCAAUAAAUACUUGUGAAUGAAUGGAUGGAUGUGUGCCUUGGGGCAAAAGGCAGAUUCUUGUAUGUGUUUUAAUGUAUUUCUAUGUCUCUGUGUUUGGGUAUCAGUGCACAUAACUCUGUAUCUGUGUUGUUUUUUAUACUGUAUAUAACUGAGUGUGCGUGUGCAUAUAUGUGUGUGUGUGUAAUUUGUUAAUAGACAGUCUUCCCUUCACAAUAUUUCAAGAGAAUGAACAUUUCNNNNNNNNNNNNNNNNNNNNNNNNNNNNNNNNNGCAUUUUCCACUCACUUCCAGCUCCCAGAUUUUCAAAUAUUUAUCCUCCUAUAUUUAAAGCCCGUGAGAUCUCUCUUUCUCACCCUGCUUGUGCUCUCUCUCCCUCCUUCCCACCCUACCGUCAGCUCUUCCUCUCCACCUAUUUCCUCUUCUCUCCCAGAUACAUACAGGUGUUGGUAAAGAAAUUACCCCACUGAGCCAUGCUUUCACAUCCAAAUCGGGGUCAUUGAAGGACACAAGUGAGCCACCACCACGAACCUGUGACAAAUCCUGGAUGUUGAGCCCAGCCAGGGAGGGGCAAAGAGACUCCAGUGCGCCUCCCCCAAACUUUGGCGGCUCUGAAGAGGAUCCACCCUUGAGGGGCUUCCUCCA
rnacentral:lncRNA from 1 species